rnacentral:lncRNA from 1 species
CCAGAGUGUGACCUCAAGAGGGUGGUGUCAGCUCAAAGGCCACUCAGCUGCUCUCAGCUGUCUUUGCUGGAAUGGAAAGAGAUCUUGUUGUAAGAGGAGCGUUGGAUGAACCAGCCCCAACCCAGGGUCUAGAGUUUGAGGAGUGACAAGGGCAGAUCUCUAAGGAAGCGAAACUCCUCUGAGACCCGACAGGGAACCAGCUUCCUCGAGGAACCUGAGUGAAAGGAGGACCUGUCACCUGAGCCUCCUCAGGUCAUCCAUCGUCCUCGAAGGAUCCAUCCUGAGGCAUCAACUGAAAAUUAUGGCUCCUGAGAAAGAAUAAAGCACACUGUUCACUGCCAGGAUGAGUGUCCCUGUGGCAGCAUCUAGAGCUUGCCUGUUGCUCCUGCUAACGACCUCUGUCCCCCGUGUGGCCCUUUCUUUCUGUCACUUCUGUAGCUGUACUGUUGACAACUCUUCUCUAGGUGUCUCUGAAGCCCUGAAAGGCCUCUCAGCUUGGCAUGGCCCCCCGCCCCGCCCCAGCUCGCUCUCUUGAUGCCCAUGUGUGUGACUUGACAGCAUUCCUGCCUUGCUGGCCCACUGCCCCACUCCAAGGAAGGACGCUCUCAAGGUCCAGGUCCCUGGCAGUGUCAGGGCAACAUCAGUGGAAUGAGAACCCUGCUGAGCACAUGGGGCAGCUGUUUCCGUGGGACCUGCUGUCCUGACCUGGGAGUGCCAUGCUGGGGACAUGCUGAGGACCACAGGUGAUUUGAUGAAGGUAGUACUGUGUACCUUGCAAACACACCUCCAGUUAGUUACUCUCAGACGCUGCAGAUUUUCAAUUUUCUAGUAAAAGGAUUUCAUCAUAAAAGAGCUAGCCCCAGAAGUACCACCUUGUGACCUUUCAGAUAGAAUUUAGAGGGUUUAGAGAUGGCCCCAGGGAACUGCCUUUUCUGUACAAAGAUCCAGCUGUGUCCU